UUACUUUUGCAGUAGAUAUUCUAAAAUUUGAAGGCUACAGAGAAGAUUAACAUGCUUCUUGCACAAUGAUGAUGUGUGAGCUUAUCAAGUUUUUAAUGCUUUU
rnacentral:snRNA from 1 species